GGCUCGGUAGGUUAGAUGGUAAAGUGUUCGUUUAGCAUACAAGAGUCCUGGGUUCAAAUCCCAGCCGAGCAC
rfam:Aedes aegypti strain Liverpool supercont1.56 genomic scaffold, whole genome shotgun sequence.